rnacentral:rRNA from 1 species
GUGAGGAAUAUUGCGCAAUGGGGGAAACCCUGACGCAGCAACGCCGCGUGGGUGAUGAAGGCCUUCGGGUCGUAAAGCCCUGUCAGGUGGGAAGAACGCUAUAAGGUGAAGAGCCGAGUAGUUUGACGGUACCAUCGGAGGAAGCACCGGCCAACUCCGUGCCAGCAGCCGCGGUAAUACGGAGGGUGCAAGCGUUGUUCGGAAUCACUGGGCGUAAAGGGCGUGUAGGCGGUUAAUCAAGUCAGAUGUGAAAGCCCUGGGCUUAACUCAGGAAGUGCAUCUGAGACUGGUUAACUAGAGUACAGGAGAGGAAGGUGGAAUUCCUGGUGUAGGGGUGAAAUUCGUAGAUAUCGGGAAGAACACCGGUGGCGAAGGCGGCCUUCUGGCCUGAUACUGACGCUGAGACGCGAAAGCGUGGGGAGCAAACAGGAUUAGAAACCCUGGUAGUCC